rnacentral:rRNA from 1 species
GACGUAGGGCGCGAGCGUUGUCCGGAUUUAUUGGGCGUAAAGAGCUCGUAGGCGGCUUGUUGCGUCGACCGUGAAAACCCGCGGCUUAACUGUGGGCUUGCGGUCGAUACGGGCGGGCUGGAGUUCGGUAGGGGAGACUGGAAUUCCUGGUGUAGCGGUGGAAUGCGCAGAUAUCAGGAGGAACACCGGUGGCGAAGGCGGGUCUCUGGGCAGUAACUGACGCUGAGGAGCGAAAGCGUGGGGAGCGAACAGG